AACGAACGCUGGCGGCAGGCCUAACACAUGCAAGUCGAGCGAAGCCUUCGGGCUUAGCGGCGGACGGGUGAGUAACGCGUGGGAACGUGCUCUUUGGUACGGAAUAGCCCCGGGAAACUGGGAGUAAUACCGUAUGUGGUCGAGAGACGAAAGAUUUAUCGCCAAAGGAUCGGCCCGCGUUGGAGUAGGUAGUUGGUGGGGUAAUGGCCUACCAAGCCGACGAUCCAUAGCCGGUUUGAGAGGAUGAUCAGCCACACUGGGACUGAGACACGGCCCAGACUCCUACGGGAGGCAGCAGUGGGGAAUCUUAGACAAUGGGGGAAACCCUGAUCUAGCCAUGCCGCGUGAUCGAUGAAGGCCUUAGGGUUGUAAAGAUCUUUCAGUGGGGAAGAUAAUGACUGUACCCACAGAAGAAGCCCCGGCUAACUCCGUGCCAGCCGCCGCUGUAAAAC
rnacentral:rRNA from 1 species